rnacentral:tRNA from 1 species
GGAGAGGUGGCCGAGUGGUUGAAGACGCAGCAUUGGAAAUGCUGUGAGGUUAAUAGCCUCCGUGGGUUCGAAUCCCAUCCUUUCCUCCA